UCCCCGUUCUCCUGGGCAGUCUCUCCAGAGUUCUCGGCUUGACCCGUUAGUAACUGAAGACAGGGGUUGCGCUCGUUGCGGGACUUAACCCAACACCUCGCGGCACGAGCUGACGACAGCCAUGCAGCAUCUGUGCACGCUCCCUUGCGGGUCCUCCUGGUUUCCCAGUCGUACCACGUGCAUGUCAAGCCCAGGUAAGGUUCUUCGCGUUGCGUCGAAUUAAACCACACGCUCCGCUGCUUGUACGGGCCCCCGUCAAUUCCUUUGAGUUUUAAUCUUGCGACCGUACUCCCCAGGCGGGAUGCUUAAUGCGUUAGCUGCGCCACUGACAGGCAAGCCUGCCAACGGCUAGCAUCCAUCGUUUACGGCGUGGACUAC
rnacentral:misc_RNA from 1 species